ACGAACGCUGGCGGCGUGCUUAACCCCUGCCAGUCGCACGGAAAGGCCCUGCUUUUGUGGGGUGCUCGAGUGGCGAACGGGGGAGUAACACGUGAGUAACCUGCCCUUGACUUUGGGAUAACUUCAGGAAACUGGGGCUAAUACCGGAUAGGAGCUCCUGCUGCAUGGUGGGGGUUGGAAAGUUUCGGCGGUUGGGGAUGGACUCGCGGCUUAUCAGCUUGUUGGUGGGGUAGUGGCUUACCAAGGCUUUGACGGGUAGCCGGCCUGGGAGGGUGACCGGCCACAUUGGGACUGAGAUACGGCCCAGACUCCUACGGGAGGCAGCAGUGGGGAAUAUUGCCCAAUGGGCGGAAGCCUGAUGCAGCAACGCCGCGUGCGGGAUGACGGCCUUCGGGUUGUAAACCGCUUUCGCCUGUGACGAAGCGUGAGUGACGGUAAUGGGUAAAGAAGCACCGGCUAACUACGUG
rnacentral:rRNA from 1 species